rnacentral:rRNA from 1 species
GAUGAACGCUGGCGGCGUGCCUAAUACAUGCAAGUCGAGCGAACAGACGAGGAGCUUGCUCCUCUGACGUUAGCGGCGGACGGGUGAGUAACACGUGGAUAACCUACCUAUAGGACUGGGAUAACUUCGGGAAACCGGAGCUAAUACCGGAUAAUAUAUUGAACCGCAUGGUUCAAUAGUGAAAGACGGUUUUGCUGUCACUUCUAGAUGGAUCCGCGCCGCAUUAGCUAGUUGGUAAGGUAACGGCUUAGCAAGGCAACGAUGCGUAGCCGACCUGAGAGGGUGAUCGGCCACACUGGAACUGAGACACGGUCCAGACUCCUACGGGAGGCAGCAGUAGGGAAUCUUCCGCAAUGGGCGAAAGCUUGACGGAGCAACGCCGCGUGAGUGAUGAAGGUCUUCGGAUCGUAAAACUCUGUUAUUAGGGAAGAACAAAUGAGUAAGUAACUAUGCACGUCUUGACGGUACCUAAUCAGAAAGCCACGGCUAACUACGUG